rnacentral:lncRNA from 1 species
CCGCUGAAAUGAUAGUUAAGGAAUCAUAAAGGUAUAAUUCCACAAAGACAAAGAAAAAAGAAAAAAGGUCUAUCAGUGGGUGAGAAAGUUCACAUUUCCUGAUGAUAUAAAGUAGAUGGAGGUGUAGCAAUUGACUUUGCACAACAGAAGGGGCCAGAAUAAGUUAUCCUGAUGAGAAGAAAGACAAUACACCCUGAAAAUCCUAGAAAGCAUUAACCCUUGAAGGCAUCAAGUACCGGAAGACAGGGAAUCUAGCGCUUCAGGAUUAUGUGCACUCUUGCUAAUCCAAGUGUUAUCCCUGAACCAGCAGCAUCAGCAUCACCAGAGAACUUGCUGGAAAUGCAGAAUAUCAGACUCUACCCCAGACCUACUUAAUCAGAGAAGCCCAGAGAGAUUCAUAUGCACAUUAAAGUUGGAGAAGUCCCAUACUCAUAUACUAGCAUAAACAGAGUAUCCUCAAACUCAUAACAAAGAAACCUACAAAACAUGAAGUACUGUCCUUUCAAUUUAGGGGCAGAGGAUUGGACAUUUUAUUUUAUUUUUUUAUGGGGGAAUACAGCUAAAACUGAAUUGCUUCAAUAAAGUCUUUGACAAUUUAAAAGCUGAA